CGUGGGGGGCCCUUACCAUGCCAAGUCGAGCGGUAGAGAGAAGCUUGCUUCUCUUGAGAGCGGCGGACGGGUGAGUAAUGCCUAGGAAUCUGCCUGGUAGUGGGGGAUAACGUUCGGAAACGGACGCUAAUACCGCAUACGUCCUACGGGAGAAAGCAGGGGACCUUCGGGCCUUGCGCUAUCAGAUGAGCCUAGGUCGGAUUAGCUAGUUGGUGGGGUAAUGGCUCACCAAGGCGACGAUCCGUAACUGGUCUGAGAGGAUGAUCAGUCACACUGGAACUGAGACACGGUCCAGACUCCUACGGGAGGCAGCAGUGGGGAAUAUUGGACAAUGGGCGAAAGCCUGAUCCAGCCAUGCCGCGUGUGUGAAGAAGGUCUUCGGAUUGUAAAGCACUUUAAGUUGGGAGGAAGGGUUGUAGAUUAAUACUCUGCAAUUUUGACGUUACCGACAGAAUAAGCACCGGCUAACUCUGUGCCAGCAGCCGCGGUAAUACAGAGGGUGCAAGCGUUAAUCGGAAUUACUGGGCGUAAAGCGCGCGUAGGUGGUUUGUUAAGUUGGAUGUGAAAUCCCCGGGCUCAACCUGGGAACUGCAUUCAAAACUGACUGACUAGAGUAUGGUAGAGGGUGGUGGAAUUUCCUGUGUAGCGGUGAAAUGCGUAGAUAUAGGAAGGAACACCAGUGGCGAAGGCGACCACCUGGACUAAUACUGACACUGAGGUGCGAAAGCGUGGGGAGCAAACAGGAUUAGAUACCCUGGUAGUCCACGCCGUAAACGAUGUCAACUAGCCGUUGGGAAGCCUUGAGCUCUUAGUGGCGCAGCUAACGCAUUAAGUUGACCGCCUGGGGGAGUACGGCCGCAAGGUUAAAACUCAAAUGAAUUGACGGGGGCCCGCACAAGCGGUGGAGCAUGUGGUUUAAUUCGAAGCAACGCGAAGAAACCUUACCAGGCCUUGACAUCCAAUGAAACUUUCUAGAGAUAGAUUGGUGCCUUCGGGAACCAUUGAGACAGGUGCUGCAUGGCUGUCGUCAGCUCGUGUCGUGAGGAUGUUGGGGUUUAAGUUCCCGUACGAAGCGCACUCUGGUUCCUUAGUUUACCUAAGCCACCGUUUCUG
rnacentral:rRNA from 1 species